rnacentral:lncRNA from 1 species
AUAUUAACGACCUCCUAAUGCCGCUUAAAGCAACAGUCAUGAAGGCCCAGGCCCACCUGCGGUAAUUACGAUUACCGCCGACCCAGUAGAGGCAGAGAACAUCCCACUCCGUCUCGCCCGACCCAGGGCCCCGGGGUCGGACAAUCCCGACCCCUCGAUGGCGGGACUCCGCCUCGCCCGACCGCGGUCCCAGGGUCGGGAGCGC